UUAAUCGGGGAAUUACUGGGCGUAAAGCGUGCGCAGGCGGUUUUGUAAGACAGAGGUGAAAUCCCCGGGCUCAACCUGGGAACUGCCUUUGUGACUGCAAGGCUGGAGUGCGGCAGAGGGGGAUGGAAUUCCGCGUGUAGCAGUGAAAUGCGUAGAUAUGCGGAGGAACACCGAUGGCGAAGGCAAUCCCCUGGGCCUGCACUGACGCUCAUGCACGAAAGCGUGGGGAGCAAACAGGAUUAGAUACCCUGGUAGUCCACGCCCUAAACGAUGUCAACUGGUUGUUGGGUCUUCACUGACUCAGUAACGAAGCUAACGCGUGAAGUUGACCGCCUGGGGAGUACGGCCGCAAGGUUGAAACUCAAAUGAAUUGACGGA
rnacentral:rRNA from 1 species